GGGGCCCGUGAGGAGAAAGGGGCGGGGCUUUGUAUGGAUUACGGGAGGGGGCGUGGCUUAAAUAAGGGGCGGGGUUCAUGUUAAUUAGAGAUUUAUAUUGCAUGAAUAAAGAUACUGUGUCCAUAUAUUGGUAUGGGGGUGUGGCUUGCAUAAUUUAUUUGCAUAUGUGGUAUGGAGGCAUGGUUUGCAUGUGUUAUUUGCAUAUAUGUUUAUGGAGGCAUGGUUUGCAUGGAUUAUUUCCAUAUAUGCACAUGAGGGCAUGGUUUAUUUGCAUAUAUGGGCAUGCAGAGGUGGUUUGUGUAGGUUAUUUGCAUAUACGGGCAUGAGGGCAUGGUUUAUUUGCAUGUAUGGGCAUGAAGGAGUGGUUUGCAUGGGUUAUUUGCAUAUAUGGGCAUGGAGGCGUGGUUUGUGUCACUUAUUUGCAUACAUGGGCAUGAAUGCAUGUUUUGAAUGGGCUAUUUGCAUAUAUAGGCAUGAGGACAUGGUUUGCAUAAUUUAUUUCCAUAUAUGGGAAUAAAAGAGUGAUUUGCAUGAGUUUUUUGCAUAUAUGGGCAUGAGGGCAUGGUUUGUUUGCAUAUAUUGGCAUGAAGGCAUGAUUUAUUUGCAUAUAUAGACAUAAAGGCGUGGUUUGUUUCAAUUAUUUCCAUAUAUGGCCAUGUUUGCAUGGGUCAUUUGCAUAUAUGCGCAUGAGGGAGUGGUUUGUGUCAACUAUUUCCAUAUAUGGGCAUGUUUGCAUGGGUUAUUUGCAUAUGUGGGCAUGAAGGUGUGGUUUAUUUGCAUACAUAGGCAUGAAGGCAUGAUUUGCAUGGCUUAUUUGCAUAUAUGGGCAUGAGGGCAUGGUUUAUUUGCAUACAUAGGCAUGAAGGUAUGGUUUAUUUGCAUAUAUGGGCACGAAGGUGUGGUUUAUUUGCAUACAUAGGCAUGAAGGCAUGGUUUAUUUGCAUAUAUGGGCAUGAAGGCGUGGUUUGCAUGGGUCAUUUGCAUAUAUGCACAUGAAGGCGUGGUUUCUGACAUUUAUUUCCACAUGCGGCCAUGUUUGCAUGGGCUAUUUGCAUAUAUGAAGGCGUGGCAUCUCACUGAGGGGGUGUGGCUUAACCCAGCCUUGACCAUAUAUGAAUAUGUAAAUGAGGUGGGCGUGGCUUAACGACCAAUAAGGAGCGUGGUUUAUCAGCAUGUAUACACCAUAUAUGGGCAUGGGGGCGUGUCUAACCGGUUUGUGGGCGUGUCCCGGCGGUGCCACGCCCCUUUUUCAGGUGGGGGCGUGGCCUGGGGCUGGUGGAGCCGGUGCUGGGCGGGGCCAGCGCCCUGAACGUGCCCAAUGGCGCCAUCGGGCUGAUCUUCUACCUGCUGCAGGGGCUGCUGGGUGUCCGGCGCGGCCGGGUGGCCUCGGUGGCCCUGGUGGCCUCGUCGGUGGCCUCGGCGCUGGCCUCGCUGUGGCUGGGCCAAACUGGGGCAAACUGGGCCAAA